rnacentral:miRNA from 12 species
ACUGGUUUCAAGUUGGUGGUAAGA